rnacentral:rRNA from 1 species
GACAGAGGGUGCAAGCGUUGUUCGGAAUCAUUGGGCGUAAAGGGCGUGUAGGCGGUGGAGUGUGUCCUGUGUGAAAGCCCCCGGCUUAACUGGGGAAAGGCAUGGGAAACUACUUCACUUGAGUGCGAUAGGGGACAGCGGAAUUCCUAGUGUAGAGGUGAAAUUCGUAGAUACUAGGAGGAACACCUGCGGCGAAGGCGGCUGUCUGGCUCGUAACUGACGCUGAUACGCGAGAGCGUGGGUAGCAAACAGG